rnacentral:rRNA from 1 species
AGUGAACGCUGGCGGUAGGCCUAACACAUGCAAGUCGAACGGCAGCACAGUAAGAGCUUGCUCUUACGGGUGGCGAGUGGCGGACGGGUGAGGAAUACAUCGGAAUCUACUUUUUCGUGGGGGAUAGCGUAGGGAAACUUACGCUAAUACCGCAUACGACCUACGGGUGAAAGCAGGGGAUCUUCGGACCUUGCGCGAUUGAAUGAGCCGAUGUCGGAUUAGCUAGUUGGCGGGGUAAAGGCCCACCAAGGCGACGAUCCGUAGCUGGUCUGAGAGGAUGAUCAGCCACACUGGAACUGAGACACGGUCCAGACUCCUACGGGAGGCAGCAGUGGGGAAUAUUGGACAAUGGGCGCAAGCCUGAUCCAGCCAUACCGCGUGGGUGAAGAAGGCCUUCGGGUUGUAAAGCCCUUUUGUUGGGAAAGAAAAGCAGCAGGUUAAUACCCCGCUGUUAUGACGGUACCCAAAGAAUAAGCACCGGCUAACUUCGUG